rnacentral:rRNA from 1 species
GAGUGGCGAACUGGUGAGUAACACGUGGGAAACCUGCCCAGAAGCGGGGGAUAACACCUGGAAACAGAUGCUAAUACCGCAUAACAACUUGGACCGCAUGGUCCGAGUUUGAAAGAUGGCUUCGGCUAUCACUUUUGGAUGGUCCCGCGGCGUAUUAGCUAGAUGGUGGGGUAACGGCUCACCAUGGCAAUGAUACGUAGCCGACCUGAGAGGGUAAUCGGCCACAUUGGGACUGAGACACGGCCCAAACUCCUACGGGAGGCAGCAGUAGGGAAUCUUCCACAAUGGACGAAAGUCUGAUGGAGCAACGCCGCGUGAGUGAAGAAGGGUUUCGGCUCGUAAAACUCUGUUGUUAAAGAAGAACAUAUCUGAGAGAAACUGUUAAGGUAUUGACGGUAUUUAAGCAGAAAGCCACGGCUAACUAUGUGCCAGCAGCCGCGGUAAUACGUAGGUGGCAAGCGUUGUCCGGAUUUAUUGGGCGUAAAGCGAGCGCAGGCGGUUUUUUAAGUCUGAUGUGAAAGCCUUCGGCUCAACCGAAGAAGUGCAUCGGAAACUGGGAAACUUGAGUGCAGAAGAGGACAGUGGAACUCCAUGUGUAGCGGUGAAAUGCGUAGAUAUAUGGAAGAACACCAGUGGCGAAGGCGGCUGUCUGGUCUGUAACUGACGCUGAGGCUCGAAAGUAUGGGUAGCAAACAGGAUUAGAUACCCUGGUAGUCCAUACCGUAAACGAUGAAUGCUAAGUGUUGGAGGGUUUCCGCCCUUCAGUGCUGCAGCUAACGCAUUAAGCAUUCCGCCUGGGGAGUACGGCCGCAAGGCUGAAACUCAAAGGAAUUGACGGGGGCCCGCACAAGCGGUGGAGCAUGUGGUUUAAUUCGAAGCUACGCGAAGAACCUUACCAGGUCUUGACAUACUAUGCAAAUCUAAGAGAUUAGACGUUCCCUUCGGGGACAUGGAUACAGGUGGUGCAUGGUUGUCCUCAGCUCGUGUCGUGAGAUGUUGGGUUAAGUCCCGCAACGAGCGCAACCCUUAUUAUCAGUUGCCAGCAUUAAGUUGGGCACUCUGGUGAGACUGCCGGUGACAAACCGGAGGAAGGUGGGGAUGACGUCAAAUCAUCAUGCCCCUUAUGACCUGGGCUACACACGUGCUACAAUGGAUGGUACAACGAGUUGCGAACUCGCGAGAGUAAGCUAAUCUCUUAAAGCCAUUCUCAGUUCGGAUUGUAGGCUGCAACUCGCCUACAUGAAGUCGGAAUCGCUAGUAAUCGCGGAUCAGCAUGCCGCGGUGAAUACGUUCCCGGGCCUUGUACACACCGCCCGUCACACCAUGAGAGUUUGUAACACCC